CGGGUUGGCCAGGCAAUCGCGUCAGGACGGUUUUCGGACCGGACCUGCCGAGGAAAGUCCGGGCUCCGAAGGGCAGGGUGGUGGGUAACGCCCACUCGGGGAAACCCGCAGGCCAGUGCCACAGAGAAAAGACCGCCCGCACUCGUGUGGGUAAGGGUGAAACGGUGGUGUAAGAGACCACCAGUGCCCCGGGUGACCGGGGCAGCUAGGUAAACCCCACCCGGAGCAAGGCCAUACAGGAUGCGUUUGAGGGCUGCCCGCCCGAGCAUCCGGGUAGGCCGCUAGAGGGACCCGGCAACGGUUCCCCCAGAUGGAUGAUUGCCACCUGCUGUUCCGGCAACGGAGCGCAGGUACAAAACCCGGCUUAUCGGCCAGCCCGUCCC
rnacentral:RNase_P_RNA from 3 species